UUUUCAGAACACUCCAAAAACGUUCAAUGAACGUUCUAAGAGAAUAAUAGGCAAUCUCUUCUCAGUCGAAAUAGCUCAGAAUAGGGAUAUUACAAAUGGGAUUGGCAACAUUUUUACAAGUUCGAUUUUGGAAUUGAUAAAAAUCAUCAAAUUAUUUAUUUCUGUUCUUCGCAAAAUGUUGAGCCUUUCAAUGAACUAAUCCGCUUAUGAUGCUGAAAAAUUGUUAGGUAGCUUGAGUAUAAUUAGAUUCCCUUUUUACAAUCUGUGAUCAA